rnacentral:piRNA from 1 species
UCCUAGAUCACCACUGGAUUGCUGAC